rnacentral:rRNA from 2 species
UGGAUCCAGACUUUGAUUAUGGCUCAGGAUGAACGCUAGCUACAGGCUUAACACAUGCAAGUCGAGGGGCAUCAGGAAGAAAGCUUGCUUUCUUUGCUGGCGACCGGCGCACGGGUGAGUAACACGUAUCCAACCUGCCCUUUACUCGGGGAUAGCCUUUCGAAAGAAAGAUUAAUACCCGAUGGGAUAAUUAUUCCGCAUGGUUUGAUUAUUAAAGGAUUCCGGUAAAGGAUGGGGUUGCGUUCCAUUAGGUUGUUGGUGAGGUAACGGCCCACCAAGCCUUCGAUGGAUAGGGGUUCUGAGAGGAAGGUCCCCCACAUUGGAACUGAGACACGGUCCAAACUCCUACGGGAGGCAGCAGUGAGGAAUAUUGGUCAAUGGGCGCUAGCCUGAACCAGCCAAGUAGCGUGAAGGAUGACUGCCCUAUGGGUUGUAAACUUCUUUUAUAUUAGAAUAAAGUGCAGUAUGUAUACUGUUUUGUAUGUAUAAUAUGAAUAAGGAUCGGCUAACUCCGUGCCAGCAGCCGCGGUAAUACGGAGGAUCCGAGCGUUAUCCGGAUUUAUUGGGUUUAAAGGGAGCGUAGGUGGACUGGUAAGUCAGUUGUGAAAGUUUGCGGCUCAACCGUAAAAUUGCAGUUGAUACUGUCAGUCUUGAGUACAGUAGAGGUGGGCGGAAUUCGUGGUGUAGCGGUGAAAUGCUUAGAUAUCACGAAGAACUCCGAUUGCGAAGGCAGCUCACUGGACUGCAACUGACACUGAUGCUCGAAAGUGUGGGUAUCAAACAGGAUUAGAUACCCUGGUAGUCCACACAGUAAACGAUGAAUACUCGCUGUUUGCGAUAUACAGUAAGCGGCCAAGCGAAAGCAUUAAGUAUUCCACCUGGGGAGUACGCCGGCAACGGUGCAACUCAAAUGAAUUGACGGA